rnacentral:rRNA from 1 species
GAUGAACGCUAGCGGCAGGCCUAAUACAUGCAAGUCGAGGGAGAAUGUUGGAUUCGUCUGACAUGAAACCGGCGCACGGGUGCGUAACACGUAUGCAACCUACCUUUAACUGGGGUAUAGCUCAGAGAAAUCUGAAUUAAUCCCCCAUAAGACUACGACAUGGCAUCAUGAUGUAGUUAAAGCUCCGGCGGUUAAGGAUGGGCAUGCGGUACAUUAGCUAGUUGGUGAGGUAAUUGCUCACCAAGGCUACGAUGUAUAGGGGGUCUGAGAGGAUGAUCCCCCACACAGGUACUGAGACACGGACCAGACUCCUACGGAAGGCAGCAGUAGGGAAUAUUGGUAAAUGGACGCAAGUCUAAACCAACCAUGCCGCGUGAAGGAUGAAGGCCCUAUGGGUCGUAAACUUCUUUUAUUAGGAAAGAAAAAACGGGAUGCGUCCUGUACUGACGGUACUUAAUGAAUAAGGAUCGGCUAACUUCGUGCCAGCAGCCGCGGUAA